UUCAACACAGUUUUCAUUUAUUUGCAUAUAUACAUACUGCAUUUUAAUCAUCUCUAUAUAUUUGAUUCUCAGGGAAUGACAAAGAUUAACUUGUAUGGAGCAGGAAAAACAGAUUUUAUAGCUAUUUUGAAUAAUGUAGACAUGAAUUUGGUAAAAUAUAAGAACAAGAAUUUUAACAAAUAUUGUCUUAAAUACUAAUAGAAAGUUGCAUAAAAACACGGGGAUAUUGUACAUCUAUUGAUCUAAUCUGUGCUUAUCAGAGUCACGUAAACCAAGAGAUGCAGUAGAUUGACUUCUAAGGUCACUUAAUUCUUUUUAUCAUUUUGUGGAAUAGUAGGUCCCACAAGAGGAUCCUUUUGGACUAAGUACUUUAUCAAAAAUAUCAAGAAUACUUUCUUCAAAACAAAUACAUAAAAAGGGUGGGGGAAUGAAGAGAAGCACAUAAACAAAGGUGCCAAAGUGAUGGUAGUUGCAAAAAUAUUUUUUUUAUCUGUAUAUGUUUAGCUGUUGCAUAAUUAAAAAAUAAUGUUUUUGUUUAUAUAUUCAACAAAUCUUUUAAAAAAUUUAUAUUUAACACAGUGCUAUUUUAAUUUAGCCUUUGCCUGUCUUUAUUUUUAAAAGUAUUUAUCUAACCAUAGGUUCUCUCUCACAUAAGGAUAACUAGUGUGGAUUAAGCUGUCAGUUGAUAUGGUGGGUAGUGGUCAUAUACAUAAUUAAGGAAACUGAGUGGGUAGAUAUUUCUAUUCAUACCACAUUACCAUAUUAUUCUAAUAAUGUAUUUUAUAGCAAUGUUGUCCAUAUAGACUUCUCUAUCCACUCUUCUAGCUAGUUACAUGCUCUUUCCAUUAUUGCAGUGUUUAUUUGUUCUAACCUUUUCUGUUCUAAACGUAAAAUUUAAAAAUUGCUAUGUAGAGCCUGAUCCAAAGUUCUCUGAAAUCAGAUAAUUAUCUUUCUAUUGUCUAAGUGACCUUGGAGUAGGCUCCUUAAGACACAGUGCCCUUAGUUUUGUGGAAUGAUGGCUGUAUCUGAUAUUAAAGUUUUCUAGAAUGUAUAUUCAAAGGGAUGACAUUCUGGUAAAAAUAGAUAUGUGGAAAACCUGGAAACAGGUAGGGAUUAAUAUGAGCUGGUGCACUGAGUGGGAGUGAAGAAUCCCAUCACAAUGGGAACAAUGCUAAUUGAAGAGGGAAUAGGGUUGGAUCAGGACUAGAACAAUGAAGGGUGGAUGCUUAAUUAGGUGGAAGGGGGAAGAGGGGAAUCAGACAUACAAUAAUACCAUAGGAGAGGAGCUCGAAAUUUCAUUGGGGAAAGAGGUGGGUGGGAGGUGAGGAAGUGAACAGGAGUUGGAACAAUACAAGGGAGAAGGGGAAUUUACAUCAUGGUAAAUAGCUCAAAUUUGUGCGUGGGUGUGAGAGACUGGGAAUGCUUCACAAACAAUGACAUUAACAGUAGUAGCAGCACAAGAUCAUCCUGCUGAAAACUGGAAAAAUUCAGAGGACAUUCUCAUUUUUUAACUAAAAAAUUUAAUAACUGGAAGUAUUAUUUGAAAGUCAUUCUAGUGAUCUGAAGAUGCUCGCCAGAAACAAAACUCUUGUUAACAGGAGAGAGCAGGGAUAGUCUUUAUAGUGCUAAGCAGUUUCUAUAAAUUAUUUUUCUAAGAAUUCAUUCAAGUUCUUUUAUAUCUUGAGAGAAGAGAAGAGAUGCUGUGCUAAUAUAUUCUUGUAAUUCCACAUUUUACAUGGAUUGCUUAAAAUCUGAAAGUGGCAUUUUAAAAUCUAAAAAUCCAGUACAUUCAUAAUAGUCUUAUCACCUGUACUUGAGAGAGUUUAUAUUAGGAAACACUAAGCUGGUCCAAAGGAUGUUGUUGUCAUGCAAACAUACCUGUGUUUUGAAACUACAAUCAAAUUGCUGAAUAGCAGCUCUGUCUUACAAAUAAGUGAAAAAAUACAACGUUCUUUUAGAAAACCACUUUAAAUAUAGAUAAAAGCUUAACUCAGUUUCAGGAAUGCUAAAAAGCAACAUCAAAGCAAUAAGGCCAUUAAACCACACAUCACCUCAGAUCUUGCUAAGCAAAUCUAAUGGAAGAGGCACCUUUUAAGGAAUAAAGCUGAGACUUUUAGGAAAAAAGUGUACAACUUUUUUUUUCGUACACUGAACCCUCAUUGUGAGUUCAAACAUUACUGCUAGUUAUAACAGAAAGUUAUCAAGAGCCUUUUGGAAUUCAUAAUAGGUCCCUACAACAGUGCUAGUAUCAGUAACACAUGUAUACCAGCAUAAAUAUAUGCAUUUUUUAGCAAGUGAAUGAUGAUACCAUUUUGGUAUGGACAAAUGUCCAUGUUAGCCACUUUAAAAAAGGAGGGAAAACAUACAUCAACUGUUUUAUAGACCUGUGUGAAUAGGUAAGUUUUCAAUUUGGAUUCAGCUGAUCAGAGGACAGUGAUUUGAUUCAGAGAUUUGGAUAACUGUCCCAAAUCGAUUUGGCCAAAUCGGCUUUGGAAUAUUCCCCGCUGAUUCAGAGAGAUUCGGUGAUUUGGCCAUAGACUAUAAUGGGGAAUCACUGAUAUACCUAUAACUUUGUCAUUUUUUGGCAGAUUUGGAUGAAAACAUCAGGGAUGGUAGCCCCUUCUGAGGGCAUGAAGCAUGCCAAGUUUCAAGGAAAUAGGUGCAGGGGUUUCUGGGAAAAUGCACCUCAAGCUUCUGAAAGCAAAACUCAUGUGCCCCCCAAGACCAAGGUGGCACCAGUUACCCAUGCACUGAAUAGUUGGAGAAAUAUGUCUUAGCAAGCUUUUGGGUUUAAAAACCCUUUGUCAGGCUGAGGAAGCACCUAGUUGGUGUGUGUGCACUUUUUGUAGAUGGAGUGAAUAGUGAAGAAGUCAGAGGCUGGCAUGCAAUGCAGGAAAGAAAGCCAGUCAGUGAAAAUAUAAUUGAGGUGUAAGGGGGUGAGGGACAGGCUGGGGAGAGGGGCGGUGAAGAGGGGAUGUAGCAGGUAAAAGUGGAGAGGUACCUGGGGAGUUGGAUGUUGGGCAGGUUAUAGUGUGUCAUAAAUCCAAUGUCUCUAUUGAGUCCAUGAGUUUCUGUAUCUAGGAGGUUGACGAAGUGCAGUUCAUAGGCUUGUCUGUGAAAAGUGGUUUCUGAAUUCCCUUUGAGGAUAAGGCCUGAGAGAUUGGAGACAGAGUGGCUUUCCUGUGAGAAAAGUCUCCCCCAGGUUGUUGUGUAUUCUUGUCUGUAAUAGAUUGGAUUAGUAUGUUGGCAGGUUUUGCAUUUCUUAUCAUGGCAUGGUCUAGAUCAGGGGUAGGCAACGAUAUUUGGCCAGAGUGCCGAAAAAAACCACAAUGUCUACCUUGGAAAGUGCCAGAGUGCCGACAUGUCAGAACCUGGAGCAGCUGUUUGCAGCCUCCCGGCUGCAGCCGGCCCAUGGAGCCCAGUCUGCUUGCAGCAGGGCUUGCAGCCUCUCAGCCACCUGCUGGGAGUAGCCUGGGCUCCAUGGCUGGCAGCAGCUAUUUAGAGCCUGGGCUGGCAGUGCUGUGCCAAGCAAAAUGGUCUUGCAUGCCAUGCUCGGCACGUGUGCCAGGGGUUGCUGACCCCUGGUCUAGAUCCAUUCAGUGUGUUUUGGGCUGCAGACAGAGGCUUAUAUGCUGUUUCUACGUCCCUCCCCCAGAGCACUGUGAUUGGAAAGGGACUCAGGGAAACAUCACAGUCACUGGCCAGCUACAGAUGCAAGUCUCCCCGCCCCGUUUCCCCUCUCUCCGCUCAGUUUCUCUUCCCUUGCGAGACUGCUUUCUGAAUGUCCAAAUAUUUUUCAAAUAUUUUCCGAAUCGAUUAGGAGGCUUUUUUUCCCUCCUGAUUCAAUUCAGGUUGGUGAUUCAGCCUCCGAAUUGGGCGGAAUCUUCUCUGAAUCUAAUCAGUGACUGAAGCUUUACCACACCCCUACUGUUUUAGUCUGUUAUGUCUACAUGAUCCUAUAGCAGUAAAUAUAAAUUGCCCUUACUUUCUCCUUGAAUUAAGUAAGUUAAAGUUGUAGUGAUUUUGCUGCAUUUGUAACACUACAGAAUCAUGCAGCUAUAAUAACUGCAUUUUAACAGUUUAUAUUGGUUUUCUCUGCAUAUCAAUACACUUGUAUCUGUCUUUCUUUUCUCCCCAAGGACUAAAGAUUUAGAACUUGCUAGGGUUUUAAAAUUUGUUUAUGUUUGAGAUAAUAUGGUUGCACUUGAAUUUAUGAUAGUCAGCUUAUUUUUCCUUUUCAAAAAUGAAAUGUCAUAAAAUCUGCUGGCCAGUUAAAUACUUAUAAUAUUUAUUCAUUACUUCAUUCAUUCAUUGUAUUAGAAUCCAGAAAAUUAUGCAAUCAAGUAUUUCUUUUGUAAAGUAAACCUUUUCAAAUACAGCUUUAAUUUGGUCAGAAGUUUUUUCCAUCUUCCUAGUGUCUGAGUAAUAGUCAUUAGCAUAAAACAGGAAUCAUGCAACUGUAGCCAGAACACCACUGAAGACGUCCAGAAUUGUAAACAUAAACUAUGACAAUUUGAAUGAAAACUGUAUAUAACAGCUCCUACCCUCUGUGAAUUUGGACAGUGCUUUCAAAUGCACUAUAAGACAUUUGUAGGGACUUUCAAACGUGCUCAACAGCAGAAUUUAUUAGAGUAGCUCUUUGCCUGGGGCAUCCACCAUAUGCAGGUAGGUCAGUGCCAGCUUCUGGGCUGCCAGUUGUAGUGGCAUGUCCAGCUCUCACUGUGGAAGCAGCAGCUUUUUAUGCCCCUUCCCCCCAAGGUGGCAAUGAGGGCUGUUACCUCAGUUGCACCUCCCACAUCUCUCCAUUAUGCUACUGCUGACCAGCAGAUUUCAUCCCCACCCCUCUGAGAGCCCUUUGGGUUAUGGUCUGUCCUUUCAAGAAUCUCUCUUCUGCAGUUAUGCCUUCUUGUUCUGUCACCACAAUACACUCUUCUUAGUUUGUUCAGGUCUGGCUAUGAACAAGUUUGCAAAGCUCAAAGAUUGUGGGUGCUGACAGACUCCCCGGUCUAACUCAUGGCCCUGCCCAGAAAAUGUCACGAGUUAGAUUGACCCUCCUGAUCCAACAGAUGUUUGCUCUUGGAGGAUGGGUGAUUGAGAUUCACUUUGGAGCUGAUCUGGGGAGUGAGGCUGUGUGUCUGCAGUGUCUGUCCCCUAGCCUCACGCUCCUUUCUAAGCUCCCAUGCUGUCUCAGGAUGGGAGGGGGAAGGCAUGGGAGAGGGGAUCCAUUCUGGGGUUUCCCCAGCUUACUCUGGAGUGGGGGUGGUGGGUGAAUUGGAGCCCCCAACCUUGACAGGGCUCCAGUCCACCUGCCCUACCCUCCAGCACUGGCUAGGCAACCCCAAGACUGAACUCACUCCCCUCCUUUCUCCCCCAUCCAUUCUGAAGACAAUACCCAGAGCAGGGCUGGACUGUCAGCCCAGCCCUGUUCCUGGUGUGCGCUGACAGAUGUUAAUGAAGACGUUCCAUUUUGGAGCGCUUUCAUCUCAACCCUCAUACAGCAAGGGUUCAGAUUGUCACAUGAUUGGGGAUUUUUAAAGCACUUUGAAGCCAUGCACUUAUGUCAGUAUGUGGCUGUAGAGUGCUUUCAGUGGCCAGUCGCACAACAAACUGUCAUGUCUGUCAGUGCCCAGAGUGUAUCUUUAACAGCAGCUUCUUACAUCUUUCCUUUGUUCUCUUUGUCACAACCCAGUGAUUUUGGUGCCUCGGCACAGUGGAAUUUUCCCGCCACAUGAGAGCCUCUUGCAAAGUAAAGGUUUUCUGUUGCAGCAGAAAACCCCCGGUGCAGGAGAGUUCCCGCCAUUCGAAUGCAAAUUUGUGUCCCGCUAUUGGCCAGUUCUAAAUUAUUCCUAUGUGGCGGCUAGUAAUUGGCUUGCUGGCCGUUUAAAAAUUAGCGCGACUUCCGCCCAAGUCGGUGAACUUUGAGCACGCUGCAGAGUGCCUCUGGAGAGAUCUGACUCGUGGCUGAGCUGAUCGAUAGACUGAUCACCUAUCGAUUCUUCUCCCCGUUGUUGAGCGCAAUCCCAGACGUAUCCUUUUCCCUGCCGGCCUGAUUUGUAGACGGACGUGCUGGCCUGAGCCCUGCCAGCUGGAACAACUAAUGUAGUUGUUCAGAUGACCGGACUGUUUUCAUCGCAACCGCAAGCAACGUUGUGGAAAUCUCAGACCCUCACCUGAAUUUUGUCCCUCAGAUGCAACCCUUCCAACUCUUUGGUAGUAUACCUCCAUUAAGGCUGUCCUAUUAGAAAUGCUUUAUUGACUACGAAGACUGCCAGGGAUCUCUGAUGGUGAGGUAGCUCCGUGGAAGAUGUGCUAAUGUGUUGAAGCUGUGUUAAGACUUCAUGGCUAGAUUCCAAAGGAACGGAAGGAGGACAGUGUGCUUUCCUGCACGUUACUUGGGAAGUGCCUUAAACUGGAUGGAGAGGACUUCACAAGGGAUGUACAAAGGGAGGGUGCUACCAAAGAGGCUGAUUCACUUUUCUGAGAAGUUGCAUGAUCCAUGUAUGGCUCAGAGGAAGUGCUUUGUCAUAGUCUAACCCCCAGAAUGAAUCAGGAAUUUUGAAUGCAAAGCAACAAACAGUUUCUGGAGAUGCAAGCUUUGGGAGGUGGGAGGGUGUUGUUUUUCCUAAUAUAUAAAUACUGCACAAUACUAAUCCUAGUAAAGUCAACCAGUUCAUUAGUUCAUAAAAUGAUAUUUUCAUUUUUGAGCCAUUUGGGUGUACAAUAUUUUGACAGAAAAAGAAACCAAGCAAACUGCAAAAGUAACACUUGUCAAAAUCUGACUUAACCGUUCCUAUUUGUUUGGAAUUUAUUGUUCAGACACUAGAAUCUUAGUUACUUAUUUUGUCUGAUCCUUUCAUGCCAUUACAUAUUGACUGUUCUCUGUAUUUAAUAAUAAUUAUUAUUAAUGUGUAUUUAAUAAUGGUUCCUGAAGUUAGCAUAUAGUGAAGGGUUUAUUAGUAGGCUUUAACAAUGAGAGUUGGUGGUAUGCUGGGAGAACUUCCAGAUUUACAGAUUCAUUUUAGUUAACAAAUUACAUUGUAAAGUGUGACUUUUGUGAUUAGAAAUGCUUUUUCCACAGGGAAAAUGUAUAUUCCUUUCAAAAUAUAAUAAAUGAUAACCUUCUUUUACA